rnacentral:rRNA from 1 species
GUAGUCCACGCCCUAAACGAUGUCAACUAGUUGUUGGGGAUUCAUUUCUUCAGUAACGUAGCUAACGCGUGAAGUUGACCGCCUGGGGAGUACGGUCGCAAGAUUAAAACUCAAAGGAAUUGACGGGGACCCGCACAAGCGGUGGAUGAUGUGGAUUAAUUCGAUGCAACGCGAAAAACCUUACCUACCCUUGACAUGCCACUAACGAAGCAGAGAUGCAUUAGGUGCCCGAAAGGGAAAGUGGACACAGGUGCUGCAUGGCUGUCGUCAGCUCGUGUCGUGAGAUGUUGGGUUAAGUCCCGCAACGAGCGCAACCCUUGUCUCUAGUUGCUACGCAAGAGCACUCUAGAGAGACUGCCGGUGACAAACCGGAGGAAGGUGGGGAUGACGUCAAGUCCUCAUGGCCCUUAUGGGUAGGGCUUCACACGUCAUACAAUGGUGCGUACAGAGGGUUGCCAACCCGCGAGGGAGAGCUAAUCCCAGAAAACGCAUCGUAGUCCGGAUCGUAGUCUGCAACUCGACUACGUGAAGCUGGAAUCGCUAGUAAUCGCGGAUCAGCAUGCCGCGGUGAAUA